rnacentral:rRNA from 1 species
GACAGAGGAGCCAAGCGUUGUCCGGAGUGACUGGGCGUAAAGCGCACGCAGGCGGUCGUGCACGUGGGGUGUGAAAGCGGCAGGCUCAACUUGCCGAGGCCACCUCAUACGGCGCGGCUCGAGUGCUGCAGAGGUCCACGGAAUUGCCGGUGUAGUGGUGAAAUGCGUAGAGAUCGGCAGGAACACCCAGGGGGAAACCAGUGGACUGGGCAGUGUCUGACGCUCAGGUGCGAAAGCGUGGGGAGCGAACCGG